UAAAAUGCACAUUUUGGUUUUCAUACAUUUUUACAGUACAGCCAAUUUUGACACAAAACAGAAUUGAAUAUGCAUGACUUGAGAUUGAUGGAUUUGUUUUCUGUGUUCUAUUGUUUUCUUAGUUUUUUGCAUAGUCGAGAGAGGAUGAGAGAGACAUUUGGACAGGAGUUAAUGUUGUUUGACCUGAUGAGCGAUGAGGAGGAUUGCCUGCAAAAAGGCAAACCAGUGUGGCUUUGUCAAGAACUACAGAGCCGCUUGAAGAGCUACUUGCCCUGCCACAAAAGGACCAGCUGACAUCAUGUCAGUGAUUCUCUCGUUAACACAGGUGUGAGUGUUGACGAGGACAAGGCUGGAGAUUCACUCUGUCAUGCUGAUUGAGUUCGAAUAACAGACUGGAAGCUUCAAAAGGAGGGUGGUGCUUGGAAUCAUUGUUCUUCCUCUGUCAACCAUGGUUACCUGCAAGGAAACACGUGCCGUCAUCAUUGCUCUGCACAAAAAGGGCUUCACAGGCAAGGGCAUUGCUGCCAGUAAGAUUGCACCUAAAUCAACCAUUAUUCACAACGUUUCCUACACGUUUCGUCAUGGUUCUAUUUAAAAUAAUGUCUCAGAAUGUUAAGAGAAUGUUAAGAAAGUUCUUCUGUUGGAAUUUCAGUACUUCAGCAUAACGUUUUCGGCAGGUUUUCCUCAUGGCUCUAUUUAAAGUCAUGUUCUCAGAACAUUAAGAAAACUUUCUAUACAUUUUUUUUGCGUGAACAAUGCAUAACCAAACUCAUUUCCAUGUGUCCUAUUUUUGAUUGGAGUUCAAAACCAUUAACCGAAGCUAGCAGUGUUAUUAAAAAUAUUAUUGAAACAUGUU